GGUAGAGAGACAUGGAGAAAGCAGGAAGCGACUACACACACCCCGGGGAGAGGAAGGAGGACGACAGGAAUAGACCGGCACCCCGACCGCCAAAUAUUAUGUUAAUUUAACAUGGAAAAUGUUAAACCGAACAAGGAAAGGAAGCUUCCUGCCAAUGGAAGGAAACCAAGAUCAAGCAGGAGAAGGCCAUUCAACUCCUUGAGCCCAUUGAACCAUUGAGCUGCUCUGUUUCUUAACUCUAUCUAUCUUUUUCAGUUCCAUAAUCCCUAAUAAAAUUCGAUUGCUUGUAGUUUUAAAGCUUCGACUGACUGAACCUCAGUUCCUUUCUGCAUAGAGGGUUUCAGAUUUCUCUUAAUAGCAACAAAGGAACAAGCUCCAGUUUUAAGGUUAUGACCCCUUUUUCGAAACUACCCCAUCAAAGGAAACAAAAUUUCUGUAAUACCUCACGCGUUUUCCCCUUUAGCUCAAACAUCUUAGCAGGCAGCAUCCAGGGAACAGGA